rnacentral:rRNA from 1 species
CCUACGGGAGGCAGCAGUGGGGAAUAUUGCACAAUGGGGGGAACCUUGAUGCAGCAACGCCGCGUGGGUGAAGAAGUACUCCGGUAUGUAACGCCCUGUCAGCAGGGAAGAAAAUUACGGUACAUGACCAAUAAGCCACGUCUAACUACGUGCCAGCAGCCGCGGUAAUACGUCGGGGGCCAGCGUUAUCCGGAUGUACUGGGUGUAAAGGGAGCGUAGACGGCCAGGCAAGUCUGGAGUGAAAGACCGUGGCCCAACCAUGGGACUGCGUUGGAAACUGGGUUGCUGGAGUGCAGGAUGGGUAAGCGGAAUUCCUAGUGUAGCGGUGAAAUGCGUAGAUAUUAGGAGGAACACCGGUGGCGAAGGCGGCUUACUGGACUGUAACUGACGUUGAGGCUCGAAGGCGUGGGGAGCAAACAGGAUUAGAUACCCCGGUAGUC